rnacentral:rRNA from 1 species
AUGGAGGAGUAUUUAAGUAGGAGAUCCAAAACAGCAAUGGGGUUUCUCAGAAGAGGUUCUGGCAUAAAUCGAAGCCCUGAAGAGACAACCAGUCAGAACACUGAUGUACAGGGAAGCACUUCAAGAGUCAAUCCUAUGAAAACCAGGCUGGCUGAUAAUCAGGAGAGACCAAGAUACUUACAUGGCUCAUAUAAAUAUGCAAGCUCAAAUGUCAUGUCUGGAAGCUCUUCCAAAUUUCCUAAGAACUUUCCCCUUAGGAAAUUUGGUGAGGAAAAGCGAAGGCAGACUUUGUUCGAUGGGGCUGACGUUGCUGAAAGUAGUAGAAGAAAGUCCGAUGCCAGGUAUCUGGAGGGUAGUAAGAAACUCGUUAUAGAGAAUCAGAGUUCACAUGCUCCACAGACUGAGACAGAAAGAUUAACUGCCAAAGAUGAUGAACUGAUAGCACCUGAUCCUGAGGUUUCACAUUCUGCUGGUUUUUCAGGUAUGCAUGCACGUACAGCUGAGUCCUUGGUAAGGAGUGCUUCACUAAGUUCUUGCUCUUCAUUUAGUAAUCAGCCUAGUAUACCUAGAAUUCCUAUCGCUGGUGUGAAGCCAUCAAAUAGUCUUGUUAGUGGAGAACAGAGACGUGGACCACGUGGUCUUAAAAACCUUAGUUGCACUUCAGUCUCUGAUGUUCUGCCAUCUGGAUGCUCGUCUGAUUCUGUUCGUACCAGUAGCUUUGAUGCUAUGAGAAAGAGAACUUCUGAUGGGGAAAGCUCUUCCAGAUCAAGAGUCAUAUGUGAUCCAUCCAGUUUAGGUCAUUCACAUACAAUAUAUCCUAGCAUUAGUGGUCCUAGAAUCAGAACUACCGAAGAAUCAGUUCGGCAACAAACAUUACGAAGCCGCAGUAGAAAUAUUCAGGAUUCAGCAGUAUCAGUAAGGACAAGACGGACUUCUCCUAGAGACACUAGGUUCAGGUUGUCUGAGGAAAGAGAGGAUGCCAUGUUUCAUCUGAAUGAGUCUACCGCAGGGAAUCAACAGUCAGUUGGUGCUGAUUUUUCUGUGGAAGAGGAUUCUUCAGAAAGCUCCAUAAGACCAGUUUCUGUGGAACUACCUCAUGCAAUUUACUCAUCUAGUCGUCAGGGAUCGAGUACUCGGACUGCCAGGAGAACAUCAAGCUCUCGUUUUGAGCAAAGCCCCCCACAAACAUUUCGCAGUCUGGCGAGGGAGAGAGGUGGACACAGACGCAUAAACAUGGAAGGCAUUGCAGAGGUAUUGCUAGUGCUGGAGAGGAUUGAACAAGAAGCUGAGCUUACUUAUGAGCAGCAAUUGCGGGUACUGGAGACAAAUCUGUUACUUGGUGCCUUCGCCUCGCAUGAUCAGCAUAGCGACAUGCGGAUGGAUAUUGACAACAUGUCCUAUGAGGAACUAUUAGCAUUAGAAGAGAGAAUAGGAUACGUAAGUACUGCUCUUUCUGAAGAACAGUUUGCAAAAUGUAUCAGAAGGCGUUUAUAUAGACCAGUUGCUGCAAAAGGAAACAGAUCAGUCAUAGAUGACAUCAAAUGCAGCAUAUGCCAGGAGGAGUUCGUGAAGAGCGAAGAGGUUGGCAGGUUGCCGUGUGAGCACCAGUACCAUGUGUGCUGCAUUCGCCAGUGGCUCCUGCAGAAGAACUGGUGCCCAGUCUGUAAAACUCCAGCGCUGCCCUCUCUGAACUGA